rnacentral:rRNA from 1 species
GAUGAACGCUGACAGAAUGCUUAACACAUGCAAGUCAACUUGAAUUUGGGUUUUUAACUUAGGUUUGGGUGGCGGACGGGUGAGUAACGCGUAAAGAACCUGCCUCACAGCUAGGGACAACAUUUGGAAACGAAUGCUAAUACCUAAUAUUAUGAUAAUAGGGCAUCCUAUAAUUAUGAAAGCUAUAAGCGCUGUGAGAGAGCUUUGCGUCCCAUUAGCUAGUUGGAGAGGUAACGGCUCACCAAGGCGAUGAUGGGUAGCCGGCCUGAGAGGGUGAUCGGCCACAAGGGGACUGAGACACGGCCCUUACUCCUACGGGAGGCAGCAGUGGGGAAUAUUGGACAAUGGACCAAGAGUCUGAUCCAGCAAUUCUGUGUGCACGAUGAAGUUUUUCGGAAUGUAAAGUGCUUUCAGUUGGGAAGAAAGAAAUGACGGUACCAACAGAAGAAGUGACGGCUAAAUACGUG